UUAGUAAAAUAUAACUACCAUUCUAAAUCCAUAUUUACUUCGGUUCGGUUCGGUUUAUAUACCGUCGGUUUUCGGUUUAUUCGGUUUUAUACCAAAAAACAUAAUUAUUUUGUUUGAGAUCAUAUUAUAUGAAUUUUAGAGUCAUAUUGUCAACACAGUCAUUUAUUACAAAUAUAUUACAUGUUCAAAUAGAUGAAAAAAAAAGUAAAAAUGCUUCUUCUAUCAAAUAAAAUAAUCAAUUCUAUAACUAAAAUCAAAGCUUGAAAUUUUGAAAAUAAAAAUAUGAAACAAAACAGAAACAUAAAAGAAAAGUUUUUCCACUCUUCCAUAUUUAGUGUUCAUUAAAGUCAUGUUUUUUUAAUUGAAAAUUUUCCAUUAAUUAUUGUCCAUCAAAUUUAUAAUCUUCAUAUUAAUUAAGUGAAGACUAAAAUAAAUCAAAAAGAUCAAAAAAGACUUAGAAAAUAAGAUGUAUGAAUUGCGAUGUAUUGUUAUUUAGUUAUAGUUCAAGUGUUUUACAAAUUAAGGUUUUUUAUUACUAUAAAAUUAUGGUAAUAGUUAUUAACACAAAUUUAACUUAUGUAACAAAUAGAUUUUCAUGUAUUGUUUUAAAAUAGAUACAUAUUUACAUGUUUCUACUUUUAAUCGGUUUUGUUCGGUUUAUUCGGUUUAAUCGGUUAUAUACCAAACCAUAUCCAAAUCCUACGGUUUUUAUAAAAUUAUAUCCAUUCG
rnacentral:lncRNA from 1 species